rnacentral:rRNA from 1 species
CUACGUGCCAGCAGCCGCGGUAAUACGUAUGUCMCAAGCGUUAUCCGGAUUUAUUGGGCGUAAAGCGCGUCUAGGUGGUUAUAUAAGUCUGAUGUGAAAAUSCAGGGCUCAACUCUGUAUUGCGUUGGAAMCUGUAUAACUAGAGUACUGGAGAGGUAAGCGGAACUACAAGUGUAGAGGUGAAAUUCGUAGAUAUUUGUAGGAAUGCCGAUGGGGAAGCCAGCUUACUGGACAGAUACUGACGCUGAAGCGCGAAAGCGUGGGUAGCAAACAGGAUUAGAUACCCUGGUAGUCCACGCUGUAAACGAUGAUUACUAGGUGUUGGGGGUCGMACCUCAGCGCCCAAGCAAACGCGAUAAGUAAUCCGCCUGGGGAGUACGUACGCAAGUAUGAAACUCAAAGGAAUUGACGGGGACCCGCACAAGCGGUGGAGCAUGUGGUUUAAUUCGACGCAACGCGAGGAACCUUACCAGCGUUUGACAUC